GGAUGUAGUGUGUUUGGCUGCGCUGUCUGCCCUUGACUCGGGCCGGCAGCAGGUGAUUAUGACUGGCUUGCGUGUGCGUCGGGCUCUGACGUCGGCGGAAGUCAUGCGCAUCAGUGUGCUUGGGCUUAGCUUCGACUCGCUGUGCAGCUGCCGAGACACGCAUUACGCGAAGACCUGUUGCACGGUUGUGGAAGGUCGGUAGCCAACUGGGGGGAGGGUGGUUUCCUUUCGGGCCGGAGAUGGUCCCUCUUGACCUGGGUGCACGGGCACCCUUGCUUGGUCGGAUUGUCCCUUCUUUGUAAUAUCGCAACCAUAAGGUAGCAUAAGGUUGUCCCUUCUUUGUAAUAUCGCAACCAUAAGGUAGCAGUUUCAGUGGCUUCUGUGUGUGCAGGUUGUGGGUGGCCCUAGUGGCCGCCCUUGACCCGGCGCAAAGACUCCAAGGCGCAUUGGUGGCCUCGCAUCUCUGGGCCUCUCCUUCGCGGGUGCCGGCGUCUUCGGAGCCCAGAGACCCUCGUCCCAGAGAUUGACGGGGGAGCUUCGCUGGCACUGGUGCUGCGGCGUUGUAGGGGCCGGCUGGCCGCAUUUCGGUUUGUGAUGGCCCCCUUCGAAUCAGGAGCUGGCGUCGACAAGGAGCAUGAGGCCUUCGUCCAGAGAUAACGUUGGCGCUCCGUUGUUGCUGGUGACUGUGUUGUUGGGUGUUGGCAUGCCGGGCAUGUGGUUCUUGCGUCGGCUUCUGGUGUUGCCUGCCGUUUGUGAGCCUUCGGGCUGAUUUCAGACUCCAGACCGUGCCUUCGGCACAGACACACAGGCGGUUUGGGGCGUUGCCCCGUGUUGAGCCUUCGGGCUGGGACCAGAAUGUGCCUCGGCACGCUCGCGAAUUUGGGGCACUGCCCUGCAGAUGUGCCUUCGGGCUGGGACAUGCUGUGCCACCUGGCACCAGAUACGAGCAGUGCUUUGCGUUUGAUUAGGCGUCGCCGGACUACAUGCCCGGUGCACCUGGUUUAGCGUCGGGUGCUGUAGACAGCGCUUCAUGCGCAGACACGGGUUGCCGCAGGAUGUGGGGCUUUGGCGGGCUUAGGCUUGGCUUCGACUCAUGAGUGUUGCACCCGAGACACGCUUUAUGCGAAGACCUAUUGCACGGUUGUCGAAGGUCGGUAGCCAACUGGGGGGAGGGUGGUUUCCCUUCGGGCCGGAGAUGGUCCCUCUUGACCUGGGUGCGGGGCACCCUUGCUUGGUCGGACUGUCCCUUCUUUGUAAUGUCGCAAUCAUAAGGUGCUUGGUCGGAUUGUCCCUUCUUUGUAAUAUCGCAACCAUAAGGUGGCGGCGGCAGUGGCGGCGGCGGCGACGGCAGCUGCGGCGGCCGCGGCCAUGACAAUGGGGAUGGUCUCGGCGCAGGUGGCGGCGGCACGCCGCCGGUGGUGGCGGCCGGCCCUGCCGGUGCGCCCCGCGCCCCCGCCCCCACCGUGGUGAUCUCGGCUGCCCCGCCGGGGGCUCCGCAGUAGUGCGCCGUCCUCGGCAGCAAGCGGCCGGCCCCCGGCCGCUGCGGGUAGGGUCGCACAACGUGCGGGGGUUGCGGAGCCGGGUCCAGCAUCUGGGCUGCCCGCGCCUGCACGCCCUACUCCGCUGUUGGGAGCGGCAGCAACUGGACGUGGUCUGCCUGCAGGAGACCCACGUCCGGGCAGAAGACAUUGACCUCGUGACCGCUGACCUGCGUGCUGCUGCACUGCGGCUGCACGUGCGUGAGUGGACAGCCUGGUGGGCCCCCGCCCCCACGCCCCAUCAGCGUGUCUCCGGCGGCACUGCCAUCCUUAUUCGCACUUGUCUGCUGGAGCAAGGUGCCGUCACGUUCCCGGGUGGCGUGGCGGCCCCCUCCGUUGCUGACGGCGCGUGGCGGCCCCCUCCGUUGCUGACGGCGCCCGGCUUUGGCGUCCCAAUAUGCGGAUGAUUGUACGCCGUUUCUCGCGGGCAUGCAGGCUGUGCCGGGGUUCCUGGCGGACAUGGACGUUUUUCGGUGUGCGUCGGGGCAGCGGCUUAACAUGUCUAAAGUGGAGCUACUGGUGUUGGGCACCUCCGCGGGUUUGGGGGUGGCGCCAGCAGCUGUGGCUGGGCCCCCCCUGCCUCCGGGUUGGCGUGUGGUCAACACCGCACAGUCGCUCGGGGUGCACUUUGGUGAUUGGAAGACGGCCACCCCGCCAGUGGCUUUUGACGGGGUGGUGGGGGUGCUUGGCUUGAUUGUGCGUAUGCCUGUUUCGAUGUUUGGGCGAGCGGCGGCGGCCUCGGCAUAUGCCCUUAGCAAGGUCCUGUACCAUCUGGAGUUUGCGGGGUUCCCGUCGCCGUGGGCGCCGGUUGGCAAGUUGUUAGGCCAGGUGGCGGCGGUUGUUGAUCGGCGGCUGUCGCCGGCUAAGUAUGCGGUCGCACCCCAUGCUCGUCCGGUGGGGGUAUCCCUUGACAUCAUGCAGGUGCCGCCGGCUCUGGGUGGUGUAGGGCUGCUGCCUCUUCAGCUGCACGUGCAGGCGCGGCAAGCUGGACUGGCGGUGCGGUGUGUGCUGGGCGCGUGUGGGUUGCUGGCGUUUGUGCCGCCAUGGACGAAGGUGGCGGAGGCUUGGCUGCGGGCACGCCAUCCAGCGGCCACGCCCCUGCGCCUGUUGGUGCGGUGCGACCCGUCCCGUGUUUUGGACAAGUUGGUUACGCCUGAAUGCAAACCGUUUUUGCGUCUGUUGGGGGCGGUCGCCCACUUGCCGCCUAUCACGUUGGUGGCGCCGCCCGCGGCUGGGGACUGGGUGUAUCAUGUGCCGUUGUGGGCGAAUCCGGCACUGUGUGAUGGUGCACAGACUUUUGACGUGGCGUUUGCCGAUUUAUUUGCCCUGCCGGGCCUUGUGUAUGUGGGACAGUUGGUGACCAGUUAGAGGCCGUGCGUGCUGCCCACACCCGCCCGGGUGGGUGGGGCACCAGGUUUGGUGAGGCGAUGUUGGACUUGUACUUGACGAGCGUGUGGCGGCCUGUGCUUGGAUGGGGACCUCGGCGGCACCUGCCGUCGCCGCUCCUGGGGCCGGCGUCGCCCCUGGCGGCGGCGGAACGCAUAGCCGCGGCGGUGGCCUUGCUCCCAGGUGGCUGGGAGGCCGCGGCGCGUGCGGCUCGACUGGCUCGCGGGCGGGCGUGGGUCAUGCCGCUUCCUGCGGAUGCCGUGCGACAGGCGGCGGCGGGGGCCUUGACCCAGGUGGUGCGGGGACUGGGCUGGGUCCUGGACGGGGGCCCGCCUCUGCUGCUGUUGAACUACUCCGUGCAGGCAGGAACGGCCAUGCAACUGGGCCCCCAGGUUGCGGCGCUGCGGUCUAAACAUUUGUUGUAUGUGCGUGAUGCUGGUGUGUCUGCGGACGGCGCGCUUGCGGCUGCCGGCGCCUUUGCCGGCACUCUGGCCCGUUUGUGGGCGUUAAAAUGGGAAAAUUAUCACAAGGAAGCUAGCGUUGUGGCGGGUGGCGGCCAAUGCGUGCUGGUCGUUCCCCAAAAAUGCCGCCCAGCGUGCAGCUGGGGUGGCAAUGCCCCUGUGCCGGGCGUGUGGGCGGGAUAUGUGUGAUGGGGACCGCCGGCACUACUUUUGGGACUGUGUUGUUGCUCGGGCGCUGCGGGAGAACAUGGCUGUGGCAAUGAUGGGGUCCCCUCCUGACACGGCUGAUGACUGUUUCUCCCGUGCUAACCUUUGGCUGGUGCAGCCGCCUGCUGGGCUGGCGCCGCCGGUGUGGGAUGUAGUGUGUUUGGCUGCGCUGUCUGCCCUUGACUUGGGCCGGCAGCAGGUGAUUAUGACUGGCUUGCGUGUGCGUCGGGCUCUGACGUCGGCGGAAGUCAUGCGCAUCAGUGUGUCCGUUAUUGCUGAUUUCUGGGGCCGGCUGCAAUCGUAUGUCAGUCUCGGCAAAACCUGGGGCACGGUGCCUGCGCACCAUCCGUUCCUCUCGCGGGGUGCGGGUGACUGUGUGCUGCUAGUGUUGCCUGAUGAUGUGGGCUCCCCGCCCCCCUCGCCUUAAUUUGCUCGUGGGUGGUGGGGGCGGUGUGCCUCUGGUGUGUGCGCUGUGGGUGUGGGGCGUCGACGUGGGCGUCGCCGGACUACGUGCCCGGUGUACCUGCGUUGACGCCUCGCCGGUUUGAUUGCGCCUCGUGCGCUAGUGCGGUUUGCUGUACGUUGGUGGGGCUCUGGCGGGCUUUGGCUUAGCUUCGACUCGCUGUGCAGUUGCCGAGACACGCUUCACGCGACGACCUGUUGCACGGUUGUGGAAGGUCGGUAGCCAACUGGGGGGAGGGUGGUUUCCUUUCGGGCCGGAGAUGGUCCCUCUUGACCUGGGUGCUGGGCACCCUUGCUUGGUCGGAUUGUCCCUUCUUUGUAAUAUCGCAACCAUAA
rnacentral:lncRNA from 1 species